GCCACAUCCGGAAGCCUCGUCCCAGCUGCAGAGGCCAUCCGUCUUCACUGCUCAAGUGUGUCCACGGAGCAAUUUCAGUCCCCGGGGCUCCCACGAGCUCCGGACCCCUGGGCAUUCACAGCACCCCACAACCCCUCACUCUGCAGGCCAGAGCUCUCCUCUCCACUCACACACUCAGGACAUGUGGCUCAUUCACAGCUCCAGCUCUCACCUCGGCUCCUGACUCCAGCUGAGAGGUGUUUCCGGGGCACAGACCCACACCUGUGGUCGCUUACCAAAGGGCCAGCUCCCGAACAUGCCCCGUGCACCUCACCAUCAGCUCAUCUGGAACCAACCACACUCCUCCCUCCUCCCCUGCCGAGCCCAUUCCUCCUCCUUUGGCAUCAGGGGUUGGGCAAAUUUCAGUCAGCAAGCCAAAUCCAGCCCACGGCCCAGGAUGUAUUUUAUAUUUUUUACGUGUCGGGGGUGGGGGGGGGGCAAAAAAAAAAAUCAAAAGCUUAAUAUUUCACGACAUAUGAAAAUUAUGUGAAAUUCAAAUUUCAGUGUCCAUAAAUAGAAUUUUAUUGGAACAUAGCCACACUCAUUCAUUUACGCGUUAUCUGUGGCUGUUCUGUGUUAACAGCAGAGUUGAGUCAUUGAGCAGAGAUCACGUGGCCCACAAAGCCUAGAACAUUUGCUUUCUGGCCCAUCACGGGAAAAGGCUGCUGACUCCUGGCCUAGGCAAGG